UUGUUUAGGUUGGGAGUACAUUUUGAGAAAUCUAAGUAACUUUUUCGAAUCGAUUCAUGCGGGUCUUGUGCAAAGUGUCUCAUUGCAGUGUGCUAAGGGAAUGCGCUUUCUUCUUCACGAAAUCAGGACCCAACUAUGCGGGAAAUGAGGAACAGGCAUUUCCUGUAUUAGGUUUAUAGUAUUUUAUGGUUACUUAAAAAAUUCGCACAGAAACCAUUAAUAAUAAAAUUAAUUGAGAAACCAAAAGAAAGAUGUUAAAAUUUAGAAGAAAAAUAAAGUAAAAAUGCAAGAAAACUGAGCCCUGGUUCUUGAUUUUGAGAAGGAACCGUUCUAUUCUCCCCAUUAGUAUGUUUAAAUUUACCUUUCUUGAACCGGAGUUCUCUUUUCAUUGUUUGUUCACAAAGCACUGUGUGUGCACGUCGAGGAAUGCCUCUUCAACUAGCACUAUUUAAUCCUUUAGGUCAAAGGUGUAUUUCUUGAAACUUAUCAUCUAUUAUUGAGUUGCUGAAGUGCAGUCGAGUGUUUGUUUUUGUGUCUCCUAUUAAGUAAUCAGGGAGAUUGUCCGUGCUCAGUGGUAACAUUGGUCCAUAGCAAUUUUGGUAUAACGCUUGAAGAAACAGUAGCAGUUUCUUUGUACUUGAGAUUACGGCUGCAUUCAGACUUUGUUGUACUGAUACUUCAACUACGGUAGCAUGUUUAUGUCAUACACUUCUCGGACGCUCUACCAUAGUCAUUUUUCCAUUUUUUGUAGAAAUAUUAUAUAUUGACUUUAAGUUAUUAUUUAAUAACA
rnacentral:lncRNA from 1 species